rnacentral:rRNA from 1 species
AAAAGAAAAUAACAAUGAUUCCCCUAGUAACGGCGAGUGAAGAGGGAAAAGCUCAAGUUUGGAAGCUUCGUGGCAUAGCUACGACGCGUUGUAAACUGAAGUUUUUUGGGUGAUUGGGCGACCGGAUAAAUAAGUCCUUUGGAAAGGGGCAACAUAGAGGGUGACAUUCCCGUCUUUGGUCCGAGUCAGUGCAGUCGCUGCCCAGGAAACGACGAGUCAGGUUGUUUGGGAAUGCAGCCUAAAAUGGGAGGUAAAUCUCUCCUAAAGCUAAAUACUGGCGUAAGACCGAUAGCGAACAAGUACCGUGAGGGAAAGAUGAAAAGGACUUUGAAAAGAGGGUCAAAUAGUACGUGAAAUUGUUGAAAGGGAACCGUAUGAAAGUAGACUGGCUUGGUGAUGAUCAAUGUGUGUUUCGGCACGCAUGCACUCAUUGCCUUUGCCAGCCAGCGGCAGUUUUUGCUAAAGGAAGAAAAUCAGGGGAAUGUAGCUUCGAUUUCGGUUGAAGUGUUAUAGCUCCUGGUAAAAUACUUUGGCAGAGACUGAGGCUAGCAGUGGGUNUUUGGGAACUUUGCGCGCUUGUCGUCCAAUGGCUAAGUUUUCUUCGGAUGCUUGGUUAUUGGGUGGCAACUCGUGUGAUGCUUCACCCUCCCG